GAUAUUUGAAGAUGAAACGCGGAUGCACAUUCAGCGCAUAUCAUUGGCAGGAUAUUGUGCGUUACAAGAUGAAAAAGAACAACCCACCCUCUAAACCCUUUAAAAGGAGCUCAGUGGUUCAAAGUAUCCUCGCAUCAGAACAGACAUAAAUGUACAAUGAGGAGCUUUAUCUCUGGAACGACUUGGUUUCUCUGCAGCCUCAUCUGGACCUCCGUCUCAGCUUCUGAGUUUCAGAUUGUGGAGGUUCGACCUGGUGAAGAAGUCACUCUGAUGUGCUCCAACAUUUCCACAGCUCCAACUCAGACCGACUGGUUCAGAGUGGUCAACAGAACUGAGCCCAGGUGUAUCGCCUCUAUGUACGAUGCUAAUAGCGAAGCUUCGUUCUGUGAUGGAUUUCAACAUGGAAACUUUGAAAUGAGCUCCAACGUCACCACUGUCCUUCUUAAAAUCAAGCGAGUGGAUUUCUGUGAUGCUGGGCUGAACUUCUGUGGAUUUUACAUAAAAGCACAUACAGUCAUUUCCAGCACAACCGAGUUAAGAAUUCAAGAACUGGAUGAGAACCUGGAUUUCAAGUCUAACAGUAAGGUUCUUCUUUACUUUUCUAAAUGUGGUUACUUGCAGCUAUUCACUGUUUUACCGUUUGAAGUUUCUGCAGAAGAGUUAGAGGGAACCACGAAUGUCGUGACUGUGAUCGUGGGAACUCUGACCAUUUUUCCAUGAUGGCAGUCGCUGGUUUGGCUAUUAAAGUGGUACAACUUCAAAAAGCAAACGAAAAACUGCAUCCUGGAAAAAAUAAGAAUCUGGGCCCUUAUGACAUGAACUCUGCAGCACUGAGGAUCAUUCCAGAAGCUACAAGAAGCAGAAGGCCUGCAUUAGAGAGAGAGGUGGAAACGCAUGUUGUUUAUGCUGCGAGCAGAUAAACUUGCUCUUCUGUAUGGGUGACUGAGAAACCUUUGAAAUAAAGUUACUGUUUCCAUGAA